CCUACGGGCGGCAGCAGUGAGGAAUAUUGGUCAAUGGACGAGAGUCUGAACCAGCCAAGUAGCGUGAAGGAUGACUGCCCUAUGGGUUGUAAACUUCUUUUAUAUGGGAAUAAAACAGGGUAUGCAUACCAUCUUUUAUGUACCAUAUGAAUAAGGAUCGGCUAACUCCGUGCCAGCAGCCGCGGUAAUACGGAGGAUCCGAGCGUUAUCCGGAUUUAUUUGGUUUAAAGGGAGCGUAGGUUGGUUGUUAAGUCAGUUGUGAAAGUUUGCGGCCCAAACGUAAAAUUGCAGUUGAAACUGGCAGUCUUGAGUACAGUAGAGGUAGACGGAAUGCGUGGUGUAGCGGUGAAAUGCUUAGAUAUCACGAAGAACUCCGAUUGCGAAGGCAGCUUACUGGACUGCGACGGACACUGAUGCUCGAAAGUGUGGGUAUCAAACAGGAUUAGAUACCCGAGUAGUC
rnacentral:rRNA from 1 species